CUACUACUCCCUCCGUCCGAAAAUACUUGUCCUACAAAGGAAUAAAAUUGAUGUAUCUAUAACUAAAAUAAGUCUAGAUACAACCAUUUCUAGGACAAGUAUUUUCGGACGGAGGGAGUAUUAA
rfam:Triticum aestivum genome assembly, contig: Triticum_aestivum_CS42_TGACv1_scaffold_224881_3B